rnacentral:tRNA from 3 species
GGAGGAUUAGCUCAGUUGGGAGAGCACCUGCCUUACAAGCAGGGGGUCGGCAGUUCGAGCCUGUCAUCCUCCACCA